AUCGCUUCUCGGCCUUUUGGCUAAGAUCAAGUGUAGUAUCAAAAUGGAUUAAAGACCUAAAUGUAAGACCAAAUACUAUAAAACCCCUA
ensembl:snRNA U2 U2 spliceosomal RNA